AAAUCUAGACUCUUGAUAACUCGAUCUAAGACGACCUAAUGCAAGAACCUAAGCUUUAAUACCAAAAAUUGAUGUAGGACGGCCUAAUCCAACCUUAAACGAGCAUGAUAUUUGAAAGGGGCAGAUUCAUGCAAUCUUAAAAAACAAAUAAAUAUCAGCCUGCUUUAUACAUCAUAAACACAAGAAAGAAAUAAGGUUAAUAUAGCAUUGAUUAGGGCCAUCCAUCACAAACACGAAGUAUUGAAUCUUAAAAUCUGAAUUUAGUUGGAUCCUGCGAAAGAUAAAACUUUCGUCUUGCAAUAGGUCCAUCUAAUGAUCCAAGUGGAUUUUCAAAUCCAGAAAAAUAGGAAUUUCCUGGAUUGGGAAAUCUGGAAAAUUAAGAAAAAAAAAAUGGUGGUUCUUCAAAUUUAGAUUUGGGUGAUGGGUUUUAUGGGGGAGUGAAAAUCUUUUGAGAUGUAGAGAAAAUGAAGAGAAUGGGGUUAAAGAAAAGAAUACCUUGAGAAAAGAGAGAAGGAGAAAGAAGUAGGGGAUGAGAAAUCGUUUACCUGGGCCUCACGCCCUCUUCCAAUCACUGGAAGUCGAAGACGAAAUUGUCAGAAGCAAAAAAGCUUUCUUCUUCUUCUUC